rnacentral:rRNA from 1 species
GACGAACGCUGGCGGCGUGCUUAACACAUGCAAGUCGAACGGAAAGGCCCUGCUUUUGUGGGGUGCUCGAGUGGCGAACGGGUGAGUAACACGUGAGUAACCUGCCCUUGACUUUGGGAUAACUUCAGGAAACUGGGGCUAAUACCGGAUAGGAGCUCCUGCUGCAUGGUGGGGGUUGGACAGUUUCGGCGGUUGGGGAUGGACUCGCGGCUUAUCAGCUUGUUGGUGGGGUAGUGGCUUACCAAGGCUUUGACGGGUAGCCGGCCUGAGAGGGUGACCGGCCACAUUGGGACUGAGAUACGGCCCAGACUCCUACGGGAGGCAGCGGUGGAGAAUAUUGCACAAUGGGCGGAAGCCUGAUGCAGCAACGCCGCGUGCGGGAUGACGGCCUUCGGGUUGUAAACCGCUUUCGCCUGUGACGAAGCGUGAGUGACGGUAAUGGGUAAAGAAGCACCGGCUAACUACGUG